AAGUCGUAACAAGGUUUCCGUAGGUGAACCUGCGGAAGGAUCAUUAACACGUAUCCAAACGUUAAAACCCCCCCCGUGAACUUUGAUGUAACGCGCGAAGCUUGCAAUCUCUGGAAAGUAGUUUUGAUUCAGAGACCUCUGGCCCGUGCGAAAAUUGGAACAGUUACAGUUCGAGCGGUAGUUCUUUAGGCCGUGUUUCCCCAAGCAGUCAGUGUCUGAAAGUGUCAGUGAUUGUGCAAGGAUAACGCUUCACGAUUUUUGUAGACCGCACCUCGCGGGCAGGAGCUAGGCCAAAGGUCCCCAUGCCCCCUUACAACCCCACAGUUAAAUGUGAAGCUCAAUGGAAUACAUUGGGUAAAAAACCGAACAACUGUUAACAAUGGAUAUCUUGGUUCUC
rnacentral:misc_RNA from 1 species